AUUGAACGCUGGCGGCAUGCCUUACACAUGCAAGUCGAACGGCAGCACGGGAGCAAUCCUGGUGGCGAGUGGCGAACGGGUGAGUAAUAUAUCGGAACGUGCCCAGUCGUGGGGAUAACGUAGCGAAAGCUACGCUAAUACCGCAUACGAUCUAUGGAUGAAAGCGGGGGAUCGCAAGACCUCGCGCGAUUGGAGCGGCCGAUAUCAGAUUAGGUAGUUGGUGAGGUAAAGGCUCACCAAGCCGACGAUCUGUAGCUGGUCUGAGAGGACGACCAGCCACACUGGGACUGAGACACGGCCCAGACUCCUACGGGAGGCAGCAGUGGGGAAUUUUGGACAAUGGGCGCAAGCCUGAUCCAGCAAUGCCGCGUGCAGGAUGAAGGCCUUCGGUUGUAACU
rnacentral:rRNA from 1 species